CCUACGGGAGGCUGCAGUGGGGAAUAUUGGACAAUGGGGGCAACCCUGAUCCAGCCAUGCCGCGUGUGUGAAGAAGGCCCUCGGGUUGUAAAGCACUUUCAGUGAGGAAGAACGCCUGGUGGUUAAUACCCAUCAGGAAAGACAUCACUCACAGAAGAAGCACCGGCUAACUCCGUGCCAGCAGCCGCGGUAAUACGGAGGGUGCGAGCGUUAAUCGGAAUUACUGGGCGUAAAGCGCGCGUAGGUGGCUUGAUAAGCCGGUUGUGAAAGCCCCGGGCUCAACCUGGGAACGGCAUCCGGAACUGUCAAGCUAGAGUGCAGGAGAGGAAGGUAGAAUUCCCGGUGUAGCGGUGAAAUGCGUAGAGAUCGGGAGGAAUACCGGUGGCGAAGGCGGCCUUCUGGACUGACACUGACACUGAGGUGCGAAAGCGUGGGUAGCAAACAGGAUUAGAUACCCCGGUAGUC
rnacentral:rRNA from 1 species